rnacentral:misc_RNA from 1 species
UCUCCGUUGGUGAACCAGCGGAGGGAUCAUUACAGAGUUGCAAAACUCCCUAAACCAUUGUGAACACACCCCUAAACCGUUGCUUCGGCGGGUGCGUUAGGGCCCAACCCCCCCGGGGGACAGGGCCCAAGCGCGCUGUAGCCCGCCGGAGUUAAACCUGACUAUUGUUUAUUACUGGCUUCUUCUGAGUAACUUACUUAAAUAAGUCAAAACUUUCAACAACGGAUCUCUUGGUUCUGGCAUCGAUGAAGAACGCAGC